rnacentral:rRNA from 1 species
UACGAAGGGGGCUAGCGUUGCUCGGAAUCACUGGGCGUAAAGGGUGCGUAGGCGGGUCUUUAAGUCAGGGGGGAAAUCCUGGAGCUCAACUCCAGAACUGCCUUUGAUACUGAAGAUCUUGAGUUCGGGAGAGGUGAGUGGAACUGCGAGUGUAGAGGUGAAAUUCGUAGAUAUUCGCAAGAACACCAGUGGCGAAGGCGGCUCACUGGCCCGAUACUGACGCUGAGGCACGAAAGCGUGGGGAGCAAAACGG